GACGAACGCUGGCGGCGUGCUUAACACAUGCAAGUCGAACGGUGAAGCCCUUCGGGGUGGAUCAGUGGCGAACGGGUGAGUAACACGUGAGCAACCUGCCCCUGGCUCUGGGACAACCACUGGAAACGGUGGCUAAUACCGGAUACGACCCGCCUCGGCAUCGAGUGUGGGUGGAAAGUUUUUCGGCUGGGGAUGGGCUCGCGGCCUAUCAGCUUGUUGGUGAGGUGAAGGCUCACCAAGGCGACGACGGGUAGCCGGCCUGAGAGGGCGACCGGCCACACUGGGACUGAGACACGGCCCAGACUCCUACGGGAGGCAGCAGUGGGGAAUAUUGCACAAUGGGCGAAAGCCUGAUGCAGCGACGCCGCGUGAGGGAUGACGGCCUUCGGGUUGUAAACCUCUUUCAGCUCCGAAGAAGCGAAAGUGACGGUAGGAGCAGAAGAAACACCGGCUAACUACGU
rnacentral:rRNA from 1 species